GGAGAGGUGCCGGAGUGGUUGAACGGGACGGUCUCGAAAACCGUUGUGGGCGCAAGCCCACCGAGGGUUCGAAUCCCUCUCUCUCCGCCA
rnacentral:tRNA from 2 species